rnacentral:rRNA from 1 species
GACGAACGCUGGCGGCGUGCUUAACACAUGCAAGUCGAACGGAAAGGCCCUGCUUUUGUGGGGUGCUCGAGUGGCGAACGGGUGAGUAACACGUGAGUAACCUGCCCUUGACUUUGGGAUAACUUCAGGAAACUGGGGCUAAUACCGGAUAGGAGCUCCUGCUGCAUGGUGGGGGUUGGAAAGUUUCGGCGGUGGGGGAUGGACUCGCGGCUUAUCAGCUUGUUGGUGGGGUAGUGGCUUACCAAGGCUUGGACGGGUAGCCGGCCUGAGAGGGUGACCGGCCACAGUGGGACUGAGGUACGGCCCAGACUCCUACGGGAGGCAGCAGUGGGGAAUAGUGCACAAUGGGCGGAAGCCGGGUGCAGCAACGCCGCGUGCGGGAUGACGGCCUUCGGGGUGUAAACCGCUUUCGCCUGGGACGAAGCGUGAGUGACGGUAAUGGGUAAAGAAGCACCGGCUAACUACGUG